CAGACAAACUCCGAAUGCCAAUUAAUUUAACUUGGGAGUCAGAACAUGGGUGAUAAGGUCCGUGUUCGAAAGGGAAACAGCCCAGACCACCAGCUAAGGUCCCAAAAUAUAUGUUAAGUGGAAAAGGAUGUGGCGUUGCCCAGACAACUAGGAUGUUGGCUUAGAAGCAGCCAUCAUUUAAAGAGUGCGUAAUAGCUCACUAGUCGAGUGACACUGCGCCGAAAAUGUACCGGGGCUAAACAUAUUACCGAAGCUGUGGAUUGUCCUUUGGACAAUGGUAGGAGAGCGUUCUAAGGGCGUUGAAGCAUGAUCGUAAGGACAUGUGGAGCGCUUAGAAGUGAGAAUGCCGGUGUGAGUAGCGAAAGACGGGUGAGAAUCCCGUCCACCGAUUGACUAAGGUUUCCAGAGGAAGGCUC
rnacentral:rRNA from 1 species